rnacentral:rRNA from 1 species
CGCUGAGUUUGAUCCUGGCUCAGAUUGAACGCUGGCGGUAUGCCUUACACAUGCAAGUCGAACGGUAGGGGGAGCAAUCCCCUGAGAGUGGCGAACGGGUGAGUAAUACAUCGGAACGUGCCCAGUCGUGGGGGAUAACGUAGCGAAAGCUACGCUAAUACCGCAUACGACCUGAGGGUGAAAGCGGGGGACCGUAAGGCCUCGCGCGAUUGGAGCGGCCGAUGACAGAUUAGGUAGUUGGUGGGGUAAAGGCCCACCAAGCCUGCGAUCUGUAGCUGGUCUGAGAGGACGACCAGCCACACUGGAACUGAGACACGGUCCAGACUCCUACGGGAGCAGCAGUGGGGAAUUUGGACAAUGGACGCAAGUCUGAUCCAGCCCAUUCCCGCGUGCAGGACGAUGGCCUUCGGUUGUAAACUGCUUUGUACAG